rnacentral:rRNA from 1 species
GACGAACGCUGGCGGCGUGCUUAACACAUGCAAGUCGAGCGGUAAGGCCCUUUCGGGGUACGACGAGCGGCGAACGGGUGAGUAACACGUGGGUGGACCUGCCCUUACGCUCUGGGAGUAAGCCUGGGAAACGUAGGGUCGUAAUACCGGAGUAUGACUCCAUGACGCAUGUUGUGGGGUGGGAAAGACCUUGUGCGGCUAGGAGUGGGCCCGCGGCCUAUCAGCUUGUUGGUGGGGUGGAU